rnacentral:rRNA from 1 species
CCUACGGGUGGCUGCAGUAGGGAAUAUUGGUCAAUGGAUGCAAGUCUGAACCAGCCAUGCCGCGUGCAGGAAGAAGGCCCUAUGGGUUGUAAACUGCUUUUGCCAGGGGAUAAAACGGGAGUGCGCUCCUAAUUGAAGGUACCUGGUGAAUAAGCCACGGCUAACUACGUGCCAGCAGCCGCGGUAAUACGUAGGUGGCAAGCGUUGUCCGGAUUUAUUGGGUUUAAAGGGUGCGUAGGCGGCUCCAUAAGUCAGUGCUGAAAUAUCCCGGCUUA